CGGAGUUAGGAUGCACUUCUCUGCGCAAACGAAUUUUGCCGAUGCGACUUUUAAAGUGAUAGUACUGUACCUGAUUUGCGCGCUUUAUAU